GAUGAACGCUGGCGGCGUGCCUAAUACAUGCAAGUCGAGCGAACGGACGAGAAGCUUGUUUCUCUGAUGUUAGCGGCGGACGGGUGAGUAACACGUGGAUAACCUACCUAUAAGACUGGGAUAACUUCGGGAAACCGGAGCUAAUACCGGACGAUAUUUUGAACCGCAUGGUUCAAAAGUGAAAGACGGUCUUGCUGUCACUUAUAGAUGGAUCCGCGCUGCAUUAGCUAGUUGGUAAGGUAACGGCUUACCAAGGCAACGAUGCAUAGCCGACCUGAGAGGGUGAUCGGCCACACUGGAACUGAGACACGGUCCAGACUCCUACGGGAGGCAGCAGUAGGGAAUCUUCCGCAAUGGGCGAAAGCCUGACGGAGCAACGCCGCGUGAGUGAUGAAGGUCUUCGGAUCGUAAAACUCUGUCAUUAGGGAAGAACAUAUGUGUAAGUAACUGUGCACAUCUUGACGGUACCUAAUCAGAAAGCCACGGCUAACUACGUG
rnacentral:rRNA from 1 species